GGGCCCGCACAAGCGGUGGAGCAUGUGGUUUAAUUCGAUGAUACGCGAGGAACCUUACCAGGACUUAAAUGUAAGUUGCAUGAUUCAGAAAUGGAUCUUUCUUCGGACCACUUACAAGGUGCUGCAUGGUUGUCGUCAGCUCGUGCCGUGAGGUGUCAGGUUAAGUCCUAUAACGAGCGCAACCCCUAUCGUUAGUUGCCAUCAAGUAAAGUUGGGAACUCUAGCGAAACUGCCGGUGCAAACCGUGAGGAAGGUGGGGAUGACGUCAAAUCAUCACGGCCCUUACGUUCUGGGCUACACACGUGCUACAAUGGCCGGUACAGAAAGCAGCCACUAUGCGAAUAGGAGCUAAUCUUUAAAGCCGGUCUCAGUUCGGAUCGCAGUCUGCAACUCGACUGCGUGAAGCUGGAAUCGCUAGUAA
rnacentral:rRNA from 1 species